GGGGAUGUAGCUCAGUGAUAGAGUGCCUACCUUGUAGGAAGAAGCCCUAGGUUGGAUUUCCAGCAUAUCCC
rnacentral:tRNA from 1 species